rnacentral:rRNA from 1 species
GACGAACGCUGGCGGCGUGCUUAACACAUGCAAGUCGAGCGACGCUCUUCCUUCGGGGAGCUGACGGAGCGGCGAACGGGUGAGUAACACGUGGGCAACCUGCCCCUAGCUCUGGGACAACACCGGGAAACCGGUGCUAAUACCGGAUACGACAUCGAGCGGCAUCUCUCGAUGUGGAAAGUUUUUUCGGCUAGGGAUGGGCCCGCGGCCUAUCAGCUUGUUGGUGGGGUAAUGGCCCACCAAGGCGACGACGGGUAGCCGGCCUGAGAGGGCGACCGGCCACACUGGGACUGAGACACGGCCCAGACUCCUACGGGAGGCAGCAGUGGGGAAUAUUGCGCAAUGGGCGAAAGCCUGACGCAGCGACGCCGCGUGAGGGAUGACGGCCUUCGGGUUGUAAACCUCUUUCAGCAGGGACGAAUUCAGACGGUACCUGCAGAAGAAGCACCGGCCAACUACGUG